AUGAGCAAUCAAAAAUUGCUCAUGUCUUUAACACUAAUCAGCAAGCUAUAGGUUUUAGAAAUUAUUUAUAGCUUUGAUUUUAAACAAACUGAAUGGAAAACUUCACUAACUGUAUGCAUGCACCUAAGUAACUGUUGUCUACAUGUAUGAUAUGCUCAAUUAAGCAACAAAAUUUGUUAGAGCAUGAAUGAAUAGGCCAUGGGAUAUAUUUCACAUGUUAUGAAGCACAAAGCUUGAGCGAUUUCAGAAACCCCCCAAAAUUCCUUAAUGGUCCAUCAGUCCAGGUUCCAGAGAAUCUUUUUUUUGAAUCUUUUUUUAUAAAUCUAUUUACCUUUUAAAAAAAAAGUAUCUUUCUGUGUUAAAUACUAUGAUAAAAAGUAAACUCUGCUAGCUUUAUUGAAGCAAAGAAACAAAAUUACUCUUCAAAAAUCUGAUCCUAAAACCGCUUCUCCCCCCCGCCCCCCAAGAGUAGUGGCAUGACCAUUGAGCCAUCACAAUUAGAGUUUCUCACUGUCGAGAUGGAGGAAGAUAGAGAUGUCAGAGUGGAGUAAGGAGCUGGGCCAGCACAUCAAAUCCCUGUCAGUCUUUGCUUCUGCUCUAGAGCUAUAGAACUCCUCCUUCUACCACAAAUUACCUGGAUUUCAUGUCCCAAAAAUCUGCAGAUGCAUUUUUUCAAGAGGUUAUUUUCUUACUAUGGCAUCCCACUAACAUGCUCUUUUCUUGAUCUUGGCUCGCAUUCCCAUAUGACCCCCUAAUCAUUCCUUUUCUCUGCACUUCACUACCCACUUAUGUGUGGUCAGUGGUAAUACUACUUACCAGUUUCUGAGUCUAACCUUUUUCUUUCCAUUAUUGCAGGAAUAUGUUUAAACAGUUUUUUAUUCUUUAAUUUUCAGUUGGCUUAUGUAUAUAUUUUCUUCUGUUCACUGUAUCCAACUGUUACAGUUCUUGAAUUUCCCCUCACAUACAAUAGCUACGGGAAAAGUUUGAAUAAAGUUCCUGGAUUGAGUCCUUUUUAUCUUAGCUCUUCCUGACUGACAGUUCUAGCUUCCUCUGUUGAAGGUGAAGAGGUUUGAUCCACUUGGGAGGGAUUUGUGAAUAUGGCUUCUCAGAAGAUAAAAUAAUGUGCCCUCUGUCAAUUUAAUUUCAUAUAACUGUUAGCCUGAGUUUUAUCUGCAAGCAUAAAAGUUUAAUUGUGCAUUACAUAUUUUGCCACAGCAACCAUUGGUGUAUAUCUAUGGAUAAAAUUAUAAUAAACUUUCAUUUACAUAUUAAUAGGGGUGAGAUGCUGCCAAAAGGAUUUUUUUUGUAAAAGAAAACAGGCUUAUACAGGAAAUGAAAAGAAAUCCUUUAAUGCCUCAUUGGGUUGGGUGAUCUUGGGAUAUGUUUACACUGUAAUGUAAGCCUGGGCUCAGACUCAGGCUAAAGCCGUAACCCUUCCCCUUCAGUCUACAUGCAAAUCUCUUGAACUUGUGCUCUGACCCAGGGUCCGAGGACCCUGUGAGCAUGGAGGGUUUGUCUGAAUCCAAGUCAAGAUUGAGACCCAGGGUUCAAGCCCUAUUGUUUUGUAGUAUAGUGUAGGGGUGUUUUGCAGCACCCCUCCUUUCCUGGACUCUGGUCCUUGGAGUCCACCAAUAAUCUCCCACAAUGCUAUGGGCCAACUUCCUUUGUCCUCUAUCUCCCAAGAAUCAGCAGUCGACUCCAUGGAAAUGGAAGCACCCUCCUUGUUCCAGUGCAGCAGCUUCGUGUUUAACCCCUCCAUUUUAUUCUGAUUGCCAAGCUGCAAACACACCCUAGGAAAACCUUCGGUGUUUGACAUCUGAUCAGUAUCCAUUGCACUUUACAAAGCGUGCUGUUUCAUGGUCAUGGGAGCACAGCCAGAUUUUGGCUAAUCUCUGGUGCAAGGCCAGAAAAACUGGAUUUUAGUAAGAGUACUAGGAGUGACCAUGAAUACCAGCUACUAGGAAAGAAGAUGGUGGCACUGGAAACUUAUCGGACCGGCGAUCAGUGCAGAAAAUGGUUUAAGCAGCUCAAGAGUACCAGAAAACCAGGGACCACAAACACAUCUCUGGCUGCUCACUAACAUCAUGCCCAUUUUAUGAUGAGUCUGACCGGGUGCUGGUGACUGCACUUGAGCCGUCAACUGUGUACGAUGACCUGGUAAGCUGGGAUGGCGUCCAGCUGGUCCCAGAAGCCAGCAACGAAAUAAAUAGGAGCCAGUAGCAGGUGCCGAAUGAGGCAAAGGAAGUAACUCUAUUGGUGAAACUGGUCCUAGGAGGAAGCUUUGCCGCAGGAGCAGCUGCAGCAUAUCUGGAGGAUGUACUUUGAGCUUUUUGUAUGACCCCUUGGAGGAAAACCCCACUGCAGAACUGGCUGCCGAAACAGAAGAGGGAGAAGCUGCCCCAGAGCCGAACCGCUCGAACUCUACAUGUUCCAGUACCUCCUUAACUUGCCCACAUUACAGAAGCCUGACUCGUCGUACCCUCGCAGACUGUUCCAGGAGGAAGCAUGAUGAAUUUGAUUGAAGUUCUGGAUUGGGCCAAUAAGUAGCGUGAGUACCAAAGGCAAAGGGACUUGCGGCAAGAAGAAAGACAUGCUGAGAGGCAAGCGGACAAGCUCAGGUUGGCUUUGCAGCUUGACAGUGUAGCAGCAUGGAAGCAGGCACUCUUCAUAGUUCCUGGAACAGGAAUGGCAGCUAAGGGAGGAGGAGAGAGCACAACAGAGAGAAUUGUUUGAGUGGCUGCUACCUCUAAUGGCUGUAAAAGUGCAGGCUCCUGCUGCACCUGCACCAUGACCUGUGUCCCCUCCAUGGUACCUUGGCCUGCAUUCCAGGAACAGCAUGGACAACUCCAUGGCUGGGUGGCCCAUUCAGUGGGGCCCUACGAGUGACAGGACAGGGCAAAUGUGUCUCAUGUGGUCCUCAGUGCUGAACCUCUCCCCCAUGGACACCCCUGUCCUGGCUGCAAGAGUGUGGCAAACAUGGAGGGUGUCUUGUAUAUAGUUCAACUAUUUGCACUUGUUUAUGCACUUUUCUCUUGGUUAUUUUUAAAGCUUUUGGUGUUGCUGCUGAUUCGGUGUGCUAAAGGCAGCUGGCCUGUUAGGCAACGGUUUAAUAUUGUACUUCUCCAAUACAUGUCUGAAAAUAAAGGUUUUCAUUUUGUAAAGAAA